UCCAAUUUUAAUUUUUUUAGUUUUAUUUUAUGGGAAACUAACUCCCUAGCUAAGGCUACGAAGAAAGCUUUUAAUAUGAGCUUGUGUGUUGUGAAAGCCAACUCAAUUUGCAUGCCAAGAAGUGUGCCACCCAAAGAUAAUAUGUUAUUGGCCAAUUAAAGAACUUCAACAUAUCCAUGAAGCAAUGAUGAUGAAGGAAGAAGUGCAACUAGCACAAGAACAAAAGAAUUGAAAAGAAUGCAUGAAGUGCCACACCCAUGCCAAAAGAAGAAAGGAAAAGAAGUAUGGGAUGGAAGCAAACAAGAAGAAAUUGAAUUCACAUGCUUGUAAGGUGUCAUCCACUCAAAAGAAGCUCAAAUUCAAUGCAUAUUAUCUAAAAAGAGGAUGAAAGCCACAAGUAAAGGAAGAAAAAGAGAAAACAAUUCAACAAUGGAAUUGAUUCCAACCACACUAACAUAGGCAAGAUGAAGUGGGAGUUAGGUAUUACAUUAAAAUAGGAAUGAUGGUGUUGGAAUCCAUCAUGAUGUUUCUCCUUCUUAGCCCUAUAAAUAGAGAAGUCUUCAAGCUUCAAAACACACCAAGCUCACAAUCUUCUCUUGAGCUCUCUCUCCUUCCUCCAACUCUUCUAGUUUUAAUUUCUUUAGUUUUAUUUUAUGGGAAACUAACUCCCUAGGUAAGGCUAGGGAGAAAGCUUUUAAUAUGAGUGUGUAAUUUUUAUUAGUCUGAUCCAAAACCCAAGCGAAGUAUGUGAAUUUGUAGUUUUGUUCAAAUGGAAUUUGUAGUUUUUCUUUUUAAUUAAUUGAUGAAUGUUUGAUAUUCUA